UACAGAGGUCCCAAGCGUUGUUCGGAUUCAUUGGGCGUAAAGGGUGCGUAGGUGGCGCCGUAAGUCGGGUGUGAAAUUUCGGAGCUUAACUCCGAAACUGCAUUCGAUACUGGCGUGCUUGAGGACUGGAGAGGAGACUGGAAUUCAUGGUGUAGCAGUGGAAUGCGUAGAGAUCAUGAGGAAGACCAGUGGCGAAGGCGGGUCUCUGGACAGUUCCUGACACUGAGACACGAAGGCCAGGGGAGCAAACGGG
rnacentral:rRNA from 1 species